CUCAUAUCUUGCAAAAAAACUCGUGUCGAGUUACUUGUAUCUCAAGGUACACCACUGGACCUCGUAGUCCACCUUUCCGUGGACCUCACCUGGAGUCGAAACCCUUCCCGUCUGCUCAAGAAGGCGUAACAUCUCUACUUCAUCCGGAAGCUGCGACAUGCCAGACUGGGGCGCCAUGUCUUGAGGAGCUUCUACAGAUGUGGUGGAGAGUGUCCUCAGCUUCAGCAUCACGGUGUGGCACAGCAGCUGCUCGGCUGCAGAGAGGAAGGCAUUACAAAGGGAGGUAAAUGGAUCCGCGAGGCCGCCAAGACCCACAAGCUGGAGGAGCAGGAGCUGGCACACGCUGUCAACGCCAGCGCCACGGUGCUGACCAAGGUCAAGCUGUCCAGCCCUAAGGUUUUGGAUAAAUCACUCAAACAAGUGUUCAUUUUGAGUUUUGGAGUCGCAGCACAGCCGUGGAAAUUGUCAACAGCAGCAAAGUUCUCCAGGCAGAGACAACCAUGCUUCUGGAUGGAAAACAUCCGUCCGAGUUCGCCGAGGAAGAGGGGCUCCGCUUAACCCUGAACAGCCUGAGUGCUGAGCUCCACAAACUGGAUGACAUCCAGUUUGUCCACUCACGCAUUGUGCCGAGGAGUGUCGACACGUUGCUUGUAUGCAGCAGACUACAGCCAUCUUUUAGAAACAACACGAUGGAAACCGCCUUCAGACUGAAAUGAGACUUUUCGUGGACACCUUGUUUCCACGCACGCAACCUUCAAUGACACCAGAAGCCGAUGUGCAGAAAUCUUAGACGUCGAACAGAAAAGAAAAACAUGGAAUGUAUUUGUGUGUCGAGCUGUUAACAAUCCAUCCAUUUUCUGAGCCGCUUCUCCUCACUAGGGUCGCGGGCGUGCCGGAGCCUAUCCCAGCCGUCAUCGGGCAGGAGGCGGGGUACACCCUGAACCGGUUGCCAGCCAAUCGCAGGGCACAUACAAACUAACAACCAUUCGUACGCAGAGUCACACCUACGGGCAAGUUAGAGUCUCCAAUGAAUGCAUGUUUUUGGGAUGCGGGAGGAAACCGGAGUGCUCGGAGAAAAUCCACGCAGGCACGGGGAGAACAUGGAAACUCCACACAGGCGGGGCCGGGGAUUGAAUCCGGGUCCUCAGAACCGUGAGGCUGACGUUCUAACCAGUCGUCCACUGUGCCGCUGCUGUUAAUAAUACUACUGAUAAUAAUACUGAUAAUGAUGUGCACAUGCAAGGUGCUCAAGUGGUUUUUACUUUGUUUGGCUUGUUGUGACCUCAACCAAAGAGGUCAUGGGGGUGGUUCAUGAUCAGCUGACUCUAGAUAUAAUGCAUCAAUUUGAAUGUUUGCUUUGCCAAUUGUUCUUAUCGUCUCGCUCUCGUGGGUUUGCUGUCCAAUCCCCCACCACCCACAGGUCCCCCCAACCAUCCCCCCCGUGCGUUCAUAAACACGAUUGGAUCCAUCAAGAAAUCAAGUUGGCCAAAUGGAAAAUUCGUCGUUUGCAUAAGC